AACGAACGCUGGCGGCAGGCCUAACACAUGCAAGUCGAGCGAGCAUUUCGGUGCUAGCGGCGGACGGGUGAGUAACGCGUGGGAACGUGCCCUUUUCUGCGGAAUAGUCCUGGGAAACUGGGGGUAAUACCGCAUACGCCCUUUUGGGGAAAGAUUUAUCGGAGAAGGAUCGGCCCGCGUUGGAUUAGGUAGUUGGUGGGGUAAUGGCCCACCAAGCCGACGAUCCAUAGCUGGUUUGAGAGGAUGAUCAGCCACACUGGGACUGAGACACGGCCCAGACUCCUACGGGAGGCAGCAGUGGGGAAUCUUAGACAAUGGGGGCAACCCUGAUCUAGCCAUGCCGCGUGAGUGAUGAAGGCCUUAGGGUUGUAAAGCUCUUUCAGCUGGGAAGAUAAUGACGGUACCAGCAGAAGAAGCCCCGGCUAACUCCGUGC
rnacentral:rRNA from 1 species